GGGGUUGUAGCUCAGUGGUAGAGCACUUGCCUAGCAGAGUGAGGCACUGAGUUCGAUUCUCAGCAUCACAU
rnacentral:tRNA from 1 species